rnacentral:rRNA from 1 species
AACAAAAACAUGUCUUUUUGAUUAUAAUUUAAAGUCUGACCUGCCCAAUGAUUGUAAAAGAUUGAAUGGCUGCGGUACUCUGACCGUACUAAGGUAGCAUAAUAAUUAGUUUUUUAAUUGAAAGCUGGUAUGAAUGGUCGGACGAGGGAAUAACUGUCUCAAUUUAAUUUUAAUUAGAAUUUUAUCUUUAAGUAAAAAAGCUUAAAUGAUUUUAAAAGACGAGAAGACCCUAUAGAGUUUAAUAUUUUUAUAUAAUUAUAAAUUUUAAGAAUUAAAUAUUUGAAUUAUAUGAAAAUAUUUUGUUGGGGCGACAAAAAAAUUUAAAGAACUUUUUUUAUAUAGAAUCAUUGAUUUAUGAGUAAGUGAUCCAUUAUUUAUGAUUAAAAGAUUAAAUUACCUUAGGGAUAACAGCGUAAUUUUUUUUGAGAGUUCAUAUCGAAAAAAAAGU